rnacentral:tRNA from 1 species
GAAAUAUGGAAUCAAAAGGCAAGCUUCUAACUUAGUCUUUAAGCGGCGUAACUCCGUUUAUAUUUCU